GUGGGGAAUCUUCCGCAAUGGACGAAAGUCUGACGGAGCGACGCCGCGUGAGUGAAGAAGGCCUUCGGGUCGUAAAGCUCUGUCAUCGGGGACGAAUGGUCGAUGGAGUGGAAAGCCAUUGAAAUGACGGUACCCGAGAAGGAAGCCACGGCUAACUACGUGCCAGCAGCCGCGGUAAUACGUAGGUGGCAAGCGUUGUCCGGAAUUAUUGGGCGUAAAGCGCGCGCAGGUGGGAUCUUAAGUCUAUUUUGAAAGUUCGGAGCUUAACUCCGUGAUGGGAUAGAAACUGGGAUUCUUGAGUACCGGAGAGGAAAGCGGAAUUCCCCGUGUAGCGGUGAAAUGCGUAGAUAUGGGGAGGAACACCAGUGGCGAAGGCGGCUUUCUGGACGGUGUCUGACACUGAGGCGCGAAAGCCAGGGGAGCGAACGGGAUUAGAAACCCUUGUAGUCC
rnacentral:rRNA from 1 species